GUUCAUCUCUUGCGUGUUUUUGAGGAUCUGGCCCAGAUGCUGUUUGCUGGAAAAUGCCUGAAAGCUACUUGGAGUCAGAUGGCAGGGAGCCGUGACAAGGAUCACAUGCACUCGAAUCCUCUCCUAAUGCUCUCUUCUGGGCAGUUUGCCUACAAUCUUGGUGGCAGGCAGAUUGAUGGAGGCACUUUAGCGACUGUCACCAGCUCCCGGUUCAGCGACCGGCUGCGUGAGGCACACAAACCUGGACCCAAUAACGUGGAACACACAAAGUGAUCAAAGCCUAGAGCUGCCUCCCCACUUAUCAGCACGUAACCGCCCUCCUGGCGCCGAGCCCGAGACUGCCCACCAAUGUGUCCGAGCACAAGAGUGGUUGUUCAACGUGGGAACUGGACUGAGGUGGUGAAGUGGUGGUGCUACCCAGUGCUGCAGAAGGAGCUCCCUGUGGGGCAAAGGCAAUGACACUGUCCAAGGAAUUUGCCUUAUCAGAUGUAACAGGUUUGCUGUGUGCAGCCCACUGGAAAGGAGGCUGGUUUUCAUGGAAGUGCAUCUGUAGGCAACCAACCGUUUCCUAGGAGAGCUGUUGGUAUGAAGAUUGUUUUGGCAAGAACGCUUUGCAUCUACUGCCAAUCCACUACCCCAAAGUAAAUUCAAAGACAGACAA